UGAAUUCAGUCUCUGAGCCUCAGUUACCUCUUCUGCAAAAUGAGAACAUUUACCCCUGCACAGCCCAACUCAUAAGGGGUGUGCGUGUAUCAAAUGAAAUAAACCAGGUGGAAAGAAUGCUCUCACCCCAGGAGUGGUUGGAGUGUGUGUGUGUCUGUAUGUGGGUGCGUGCGGCCAUUUUCCACAGGAAACCAAGGUGCAUCACACCACUGGUCCUGCUUCCAGCCCAGCCCUCACAGUCAUCAUCUUGGGAAGCAACUCUUGUGGAAAAGGGGCCAGUCAUCCCCACCAGUUGCAACCAACUGCCACCCACAGAAUAGGCAAGCCAGCUUAGCUGAGGAAACAAGGAACCUUGGGGAGGGGGGAAGAAGAGAGGCAGCAUGCAUCAGGAAAGUCAAGCCACCAUCACUAUCUUCAGCCACAAUCUUUCCUCAGACCCUGAUAGAGACAGCCUAGAACCCUGAUUCCACAAACUUUGGGAAUAGUGAUAUUUCUAGCUCAGUUGACCUCAGCCAUCAUCUUGGUGUGUAAUCUCUGUGGAGAUGAAGUCUGAGGACUACUCCUCCUAGGGCUGUACCACAGCUGCUGAAGACAGAGAAAAGAAACUUCUUUCCGCCAAAGUCCUUGGUACUGUCAGACGGCUCUGCAUCAGAAAUGGAUAUAAUUUAAUCAGGUGAAAUGACACUAAAGAAGAGGCAAGCUUAUUUAUUUUGCUGAUGUACCCUGAGGACUGUAGGACUUCUCCAUUGGACUUGAGGCUGAAACCUUCCAUCUAUGUUGUCUCUCACCUUAGAAUGUGAGCUCUUUCAGAGCAGGGACUGCCUGGCUUUUCUGGCUGUAUCCCCAAUGCUUAGCACAA